CCUACGGGUGGCAGCAGUGGGGAAUAUUGGGCAAUGGGCGCAAGCCUGACCCAGCAACGCCGCGUGAAGGAAGAAGGCUUUCGGGUUGUUAACCUCUUUUCUCAGGGACGAAGAAAGUGACGGUACCUGAGGAAUAAGCCACGGCUAACUACGGGCCAGCAGCCGCCGUAAUACGUAGGUGGCAGGCGUUAUCCGGAAUUAUUGGGUUAAAAGGGCGUGUAGGCGGGAGCGCAAGGCAGGUGGGAAAACCCAGGGCUCAACCAUGGGCCUGCAGUUGAAACUGGGUUUCUUGAGUGCUGGAGAGGCAAGCGGAAGUCCGGGUGUAGCGGUGAAAUGCGUAGAUAUACGGAGGAACACCAGUGGCGAAGGCGGAUUGCUGGAGAGUAACUGACGCUGAGGCGCGAAAGCGUGGGGAGCAAACAGGAUUAGAUACCCCUGUAGUC
rnacentral:rRNA from 1 species